rnacentral:lncRNA from 10 species
GCUGGGCGCGCUGAUAUUUAUUGCACACAAGACAAGGGGGCACGGUAAGGAGGGCGAGUCUUCUAAGUGAUUGACAAGGUGAAGCAAGUCACAUGAUCACAGGACAGGGGGCCCUUCCCUCUUAGGUAGCCGAAGCAGAGAGAGAGACGGCAGCAUACAUCAGCGUUUUCUUCUAUGCACUUAUAAGAAGGAUCAAAGACUUUAGGACUUUCACUAUUUCUUCUACCGCCAUCUACUACAAACUUCAAAGAGGAACCAGGAGUACGGCAGGAACAUGAAAGUGGACAAGGAGCGUGACCUUUGGAGCACAGCACCACAGGGAGGGGUUUAGGCCUCCGGAUGGCUGCGGGCAGGCCUGGAUAAUAUCCAACCUUCCACAAGAAGCUGGUGGAGCGGAGUGUUCCCUGACUCCUCCAAGGAAAGACUAACCCUGCUUAUUCCUGUGAAUCAAGAGGUGAUCUUCUGCAGCUUGGAAAAAAAAAAGCGAUGGGUAAGGUAAAAAGGUGAAUCAAUACUCUAGUUCUGGGCAAUUAUCUUGCAAAUUUUGCCAGGUAAAGAAAGUGAGUAAGGUGCUCAUAACCGGGAGGUUUCUUUGUUUGGGAAAAUAAAACCAAGGAACUUCAGAGACCCUAAAAGGGGAAUUCUAUAUCUUGGCAAGUAAAAAAUUUUUUUUGAGACAGAAUUUCACUCUUGUUGCCCAGG